GACAGAGGAUGCAAACGUUGCUCGGAUUUACUGGGCGUAAAGCGCGCGUAGGCGGUCUCGUAAGUCAGACGUGAAAUCCCGGGGCUCAACCUCGGAAGUGCGUCUGAUACUGCGAGACUGGAGUACUGGAGAGGAGAGCGGAAUUCCCGGUGUAGAGGUGAAAUUCGUAGAUAUCGGGAGGAACACCAGUGGCGAAGGCGGCUCUCUGGACAGAUACUGACGCUGAGGCGCGAAAGCGUGGGAAGCAAACAGG
rnacentral:rRNA from 1 species